AGAGUUUGAUCAUGGCUCAGAACGAACGCUGGCGGCAGGCCUCAAACAUGCAAGUCUAGGGGGCGUAGCAAUACGUCACCGGCGGACGGGUGCGUAACACGUGGGAAUGUACUUACUGGUUCGGAACAACUCAGGGAAACUUGAGCUAAUACCGAAUGAGCCCGAAAGGGGAAAGAUUUAUCGCCAGUAAAUCAGCCCGCGUCCGAUUAGCUAGUUGGUGGGGUAAAGGCCCACCAAGGCGACGAUCGGUAGCUGUUCUGAGAGGAAGAUCAGCCACACUGGGACUGAGACACGGCCCAGACUCCUACGGGAGGCAGCAGUUGGGGAUCUUGGACAAUGGGGGAAACCCUGAUCCAGCCAUGCCGCGUGAGUGAUGAAGGCCUUAGGGUUGUAAAACUCUUUCGACGGGGACGAUAAUGACGGUACCCGUAGAAGAAGCUCCGGCUAACUUCGUGCCAGCAGCCGCGGUAAUACGAAGGGGGCUAGCGUUGUUCGGAAUUACUGGGCGUAAAGCGCGCGCAGGCGGUCUUCCAAGUCAGUGGUGAAAGCCCGGAGCUCAACUCCGGAACUGCCAUUGAAACUGUGAGACUAGAGUACGAGAGAGGUGAGUGGAAUUCCCAGUGUAGAGGUGAAAUUCGUAGAUAUUGGGAAGAACACCGGUGGCGAAGGCGGCUCACUGGCUCGUUACUGACGCUCAGGCGCGACAGCGUGGGGAUCAAACAGGAUUAGAUACCCUAGUAGUCC
rnacentral:rRNA from 1 species